UACAGAGGUCCCAAGCGUUGUUCGGAUUCACUGGGCGUAAAGGGUGCGUAGGUGGUGGGGUAAGUCGGAUGUGAAAGCUCGGAGCUUAACUCCGAAACUGCAUUCGAUACUGCCGUGCUUGAGGACUGGAGAGGAGACUGGAAUUUACGGUGUAGCGGUGAAAUGCGUAGAUAUUGGGAGGAAUACCGGUGGCGAAGGCGGCUCCCUGGACCGGUACUGACGCUGAGGCGCGAAAGCGUGGGGUAGCAAACAGGG
rnacentral:rRNA from 1 species